rnacentral:misc_RNA from 1 species
CAUGUUUAAAAUCCUAAUAUGGUGUGUCCUACUGAUGAUCGGAGACCGUAGAUGCAUAGAUAUCGUCGAGACGAUUUCGAUCGACUACUAGUUUGCCUUGUUUGGAGUCUGAAUGAGUUUUUUCAAGUGCCGGUCGAUCUGAGCCAUUGGAUAUUAGGAUUGGGGGAGUUUUCUUCUAUUUAUACCUCCCUAACCCUAGCAGCCACGUCCUCCCACCCUAGCAGCCAUCCCCUUUUGUGCCUUGCCCCAAGAGAAGAGAGGAAGAACAAGGGAGAGAAGAGAGGGAAGAUUAGGUCACGCAGUCGCCUGUCGUCGUCAUCGUUCCUCUUCAAGAAUUGGUUGGAUUUCCUU